rnacentral:rRNA from 1 species
CAGCCGCCGCGGGAAUACAGAGGGUGCGAGCGUUAAUCGGAUUUACUGGGCGUAAAGCGUGCGUAGGCGGCUUUUUAAGUCGGAUGUGAAAUCCCUGAGCUUAACUUAGGAAUUGCAUUCGAUACUGGGAAGCUAGAGUAUGGGAGAGGAUGGUAGAAUUCCAGGUGUAGCGGUGAAAUGCGUAGAGAUCUGGAGGAAUACCGAUGGCGAAGGCAGCCAUCUGGCCUAAUACUGACGCUGAGGUACGAAAGCAUGGGGAGCAAACAGGAUUAGAUACCCCAGUAGUCCCUGUCUCUUAUAA